UAGUGUAUCUUCUCAACCCUAAGGGUAGUUCAGUGGUCAAGUUUGGAUUUGCUUUCCAAUGGUCACCAGUUCGAGUUUCAUCAGAGUCAUUGAGGUGAGUACCUGGCUAUAAACUUUAGGGCUCGUGGGAUUAGUCGAGGUGCGCGUAAGUUAGUCCGGACACCCACGGUCAUAAAAAAAAAAAGGAAAAGAAAAGUAGUGUAUUCUCUCUUGGCAUCUACCUAUAAUGAAAGAAAAAAAAUUACUUGUUGGCUAGUUUGUACACAAAGUUUCCUUCCUUCUCUUUGGAUGGAUCUCUUAGAGUAAUCACUUCGGUUUAGUUUCUAUCCCAUGUGGAAGUGUCUUCCGUAAUUUAUAUUUUCUUCAGAAGACCCCUCGGCUGCUCAGAUCCAAAAUUAAGUUCUUGACAACCUUGUUUGGAGUGACAAGAAUUGGCUCAAUGAUUCUUACCGGCAUGUAUUGCUUUCCUUUAUAGACUAUUACAAAGAAAAUUAAGGAAAGAAGUUUGCUAUACAAAAUUAACGUCCCUAAUUUUAUCGCAGCUACCAAUUCUAUAAAAGUUAUACAUAGAAACCCCUAAUUAGCUAUAAAUGAUGUAAUACCCCCCUUAAUUUGAUGUUGGUGAGUCCACAAGCAUCAAUUUACCUACAAGAAAAUCAUGAUAAAGGCUAGGCAAGGAUUUGGUGAAGAUAUCAAUGAUUUGUUGAGUAGUGGAAAUGUCGGGAAGAGUUAUGACCCUAGAACCAUAGGCAUCUGGGAUGUCGCAUUUUGAAUAGCGCUAGUGUUGCCACCAUGGAGAGGUGUAGGCUGUGAUUGGGGAACUCCAAGUUCUACUAGAAGGCUUUGCAACCACACAAUCUCUGCAUUCAGUCUCAGUGGAGGACUUAGAAACACAAUCCUAUUUCAUACAUUACUAAGAAAUAAGAACAUUACCUAGAAAGAUACACCACCCAGUUGUAGAUCGACGAAAAUCAAGACAGUCAGCCCAAUCAGCAUCACUAUAGACAGUGAACUCAAGGGACGUCCCCUUAGGAAAGAAUAGACCACGAUGAGAGUCCUAAUAAGAUAUCUAAUAAUGUGGCGGACAGCCACCAAAUGAAGAUGACAAGGAGCAUCCAUAAAUUUGUUACGGUAUGUACUGCGAAGGAAAUAUCUGGACGCGUGAUGGUGAGAUAGAUCGGAAUCUCCUCCAACCUCCAAUUUAGAGUAAGUUUUGGAAGAAUAUCGACUUUAUCUUUUAGGUAUUUGACAUUAACUUCCAACGGAGUAUCAACUGAGAAGGCUUCAGAUGAAUUAGCCAACCUAAUCAAGUCUUUAAUAUACUCAUAUUGAUUCAAGAAGAUGCCAUGUGGUGCUGAAUUAACCUCCAAAUCAAGAAUAUAAGUGAGACGACCAAAGUUUUUCAUAAGAAAAACAAAGUAAAGACGUUGGAGCUUCUGAAUAAGUAUGUCAUCAGAGCCAGAGAUAAUAAUAUCAUCCACAAACAUCAACAAGAGAACAAUGCUAGUAGUACUCUUGUGAAGGAACACAGAUGCGUUCUACUGACUGUGGGUAAAGGAAAAAUCCAAGAGAGUGCAGCGGAGCUUGUCAAACCAUGCUCGAGGGACUUGCUUGAAACCAUAAAAAAAUCGUUUUAGUUUACAUAUAGAGUCGAGGGAAUACGCAUACCUGAUGGAAGUUUAAUACGAACGUCUUCUUUGAGGUCUCCAUGUAAGAAUGCAUUCUUUACAUUUAUUUGAUGCAAAGACCAAGACCUAGAGGUGGCAAGUGAUAACAAGAGAUGAAUGGUGGUCAUUUUAGCCAACGAAGCAAAUGUCUCAUCAAAGUAUGGAUUUCAUAUGGUUAGAAGAAAAAGUGGCGUGUCUUCUCUCUUGGGCAUCUAACUAUAAGAAAAGAACAAAAAAUUACUUGUUUGUCUAUUUCCAAAAGGAAGUUUCCUCCCACUUCUUAGGGUCGGUCUCUUCUGACAGUGAGACUUUUAUCUUUAGAGUAAUUGAUUUGCCUAAGUUUCUAUCAUAAGUGAAAUUGCCUGCUUGUUAAUUAUGUUUUCUUCCCAUUGUUAAGAGACUCUCCUUCUUGAACUGAGAAUGUAGCUGAUAGCAUCAUUAUAAUUUUCCUCUUCGACAUGUUCACUCUUUUUCCUUUUCAAGAUGACGUGCAUCCGUCUGCUUGGUAUCACUCCUCUUUUCUUUGAAAGGCUUUCUAGAAAUUGUGGCAUGAUAUUGGAAAAUGUAGAUACCAUUAAGUUGUUUUAUGAUUUGACAGAUUGGGGAAAGUCAUCAACUUGGCUCUUUUGCUUGGUCUAAAAACAUUCUGCAGUAAUAAAACUGCUUCAACAAUCGAAAACUUUUUAAAGAUGAAGUGAAUAAGCAAAUAGCAAUCCUUUCUGGUUUAUUAUGGGAGAAAAGUUCUGGCAUUCGGGAUAACCAGUAUAAAGUCAAAAUCUUCACCUUUUGAUGAGUCGUUGCAGACGAGAAAGCUUUUAACAGAAGAUUCUGUUUUUUUUCUUGAUGGAACAAAAAUGCACAUUGUAGACUUCGAAGCAUUGAUCAAUAUGGAGAAAGGUGACCUUGAGGAGGAUCCAUGGGAAUUCUCUUUUAAAAAAUGCACAUUGUAUAGUCUUCAGUGGUUUCUAGAAAUUUUAAGGACUGAAAUGAAUUUUUUUGUGAAAAAUUAAGACCCAUAAUUUAUGGUCUUGAAAAUAUUGUAAUGAUGACUCGUAAUGAGAAAUUGGGUUUAGGUUUAAGACUGGAGGUUGGAGCCUAAAUGCAGUAAGUGUAAAGUUAAGAAGCUAAAUUGUAGAUAUUGAGAAAUAUAUUAUUAGAUGAGAAAGUAAAGAAUAAGAUUAAAUAGAGACGAUAAUGAUCAUUGAAUGCUAAGGAUU